GAUCCUUUGCAAAGCCAGAGGGGUGAAGGCUGUGUCGAUGAGAGGAGCUGAAUCCAAGGACUUUGGCUCUACAAGUGCUUCACUUCCCACCCUCAACAGCCUGACUGCAGAAGCUUCCCUGAAAUCUCUGAGAAACAUUGGUGUCUAUCCUGUUUGGAUAAAAUGAGGAAAAUGUCCUCACUGAAGGAUUUUCUGAAAUUCAUGGAAAUGUGCUGAAAUGAGGGCUGAGAGAUGUCAGGUUUCCUCUGUGUGUCCCCCUUUGUGAAAAUGUGUUGCUGUGUGCAGUGAAAUGCAGGGUAAAUUCCUGUGCCAGCACAGCCACCUCAUAACCCAGCUGUGCCAGAGCAUCACCACUGCUCCUGCCUCUGCUCAAACAACCCUGCCAUGGCAUGAAGGGACUCCAACAGCAUUUUCCUGCCCCAGGUACAGAUUGAUGUCUGCAAACUUUCUGCCUAUUAAAAUUGUACCUCUAUCAGCAUCUCCAGGAACUUUGUGUGGUAAUUUCUAGAAGCUUUUUGUCUUCCAGAAGUCUAAACUUAGACAAUAAACAAACCCAGACAAGUGCUUUUUCAGUCUGGAAAGGCAUAAAUAAGCAACCUGUACUUGUUAAAUUAGGUACUAUAAAAAUACUGAGCUUUAAAUCAUUGUCCCGGUAAUUAUUGUCAUCAUUGUCAUUAUUAGAUGACAUAAGAUUUUAUUGCUGAUAAUUUGGAGGCUUUGAUACAUUUAUUUGAACUGACUGCUCCUUUGGCUAAGAAUAAUUGCUUAAAUUUUUCUCAUGGGUUUUUGCUUCUAUA